UCCGCGACGUGCCCCCCCCCCUCCCCGCUUCCCGAUUUCCCCCCCCCGCAACGUCGGGGGUGCAGGGCGGGGGAAAGGGAGCGCACCGCCGCACCGCUCCCCCCCCCCUCCGCUUCCGCUGCAGGCCGCCCCCGCCGGGCGCCCCGACCCCCCCAGCCGGGGCGGGGAGAGGUGGCGGCCAGGGGUGUCCGGGGGUUCGCACCCCGCCGGCCCCGCGCCUCCCGGGGGUUUUUAUGAAUGAAAAGGCGGAACAGAAGUGGAAACUUGGAGAAAAAUCUGUGGACUGCUAGUAAUGCGAUGGAGGCAAGAGCUGAUGAAAGCUUUGAGGUCUUCUUUAUGGGAGGUUGCCCCCAGGGAGAAGGAGCAUGUCCUUUGGAGACGAUAGCAGAAUCUGCAGCUUUGGUGGCAUUACAGUAUUAUAGUAACGUACUUGUCAUUGCUAGAGGUUUGGGUGUAACACCAGAUACCGUGUGAGAGCACAAGCCCGCUUCCCUCCCCUUGGCAGCCUGUGGCGUGCUCGUUCAGGUGGCAGUGCUGCCUUUCUCCCCAUCCCCUUCCCACCCAUUCGUUCCUCUGCAAAGCACAGUUUGACACCCCCUUGGCUGUGCUAAUGCAUCCCCCCGUUGGGGAGUUACACUGCUGGAUCUGCUAAAUGGUCCCAGCUAAUAAUACCCCCAAUACCUCUUUAUUUUGGAAAGUUAUUCAAGGAUCCAGCUUGCAGAAUGGCAUGAUAAACAUCUUGGCAAAGCUGAGCUGGCAGCGAAAGGAAGUGUCAGGGCAGGAGUAAGCGGUUGGGGGCAAGGAAAUGGCAGGAACGUCUUCAGCUGCUGUACAAUAAAAGACCAGAUGUAAUGAUUUGACACACUUCCACCCAUCCUGUGUCGGUUUUUUUUUCCCCCAAACGAUGCUGAGAUUGCACAGACGUCUAACAUCCUUAAAAUCUUCCAUGCCAAAAAUUUCCGUGGUCAGCAGGAGCAUCGAUGCACAUGAAGUGGGGAGCGUGGCAUUUAGCAAUUGGCUACUACAGAACUAGAAUAAGGGGAGAGUUAUGGCCAUGUGAAAAACCCAGGGUGCAAUCAUGUAAUUAAAAGGCCAUUGUAAUGCAUAUACCUCUGAGGAGGACUGGGUAUUAAUCACUGCCUGAUUAAUGCCUGGCAGCUUGACUGUAUGAUCUGGGUGUAUUUUUAUGUACUUGUGUAUGCAUAUAUUUGCCCUAAUGGCGAGAAGCAAACGUGUCUGAGGCUUGGAAGCUGAAGUUUUACUCGAUCUAGUUUCUUGAGUCAUUUCCUGUGGAUCUGCGAGAUCUCAUAUUUGAUCUCUGCUUUCACUGUCCUGCUAAUUUGGAAGCUAAGCUAUUUAUUCUUUGAACACUCUCUCUCACUGCACAACCCUCUUACUAUUACUUUCAUACCGAUAAAUAUUGAAUUUUAUUUUUCUAAUAUUUAGGUUACAGUGCCAGUUCUUGUGAGUAGCGCUUUCAAGAUGACUGACUUUUCUGAAUGAAAAGGCUCUCAGAGGUGCAAUUUCUGUUUGUGCAUUGUACUGUUUAUAUACAAAGCUUCUGCUUACACACAGAAUAGCGCUUCCCUGUGAUGCGAUUGUUACGAUACCUAGAAUUAAUUAGCCAUUGGUGGCAGAGCUUCAAGACAGCAGCUUCUGCGUACUACCGAUUUGCAUCCUAUGACUAUUCUAUGUUUUAUAUUCAAAAGGAACGUUUAUUUUGCAGCGUAAUACUUUAGCCAUUGGAGAGAACCUAGUGUAUGGACCUUGUUUCUGCUUGGACUGAAAAUGGACUUCUCUGAGUGCUGUUACACCUUUAGCUAGCACUUAUUUGGGGUGAGAAGCACUGGAAUUUGAAGCAACAGAGUUUAGGAUGACAUUUACUGCAGGCUUGCAACGUAGCCUCCUACCUUCACCUGCUCUUGCUUUUAAAACCGGUACCUUUGAGCUGAAAUCUUCCACGCUGUUGAUUUAGGAACCUAAAUAUGAAUGUCGGUACCUUGUUGACUGUGCUAGUUUCAAUGACUUUUCCACUGACUCACUUGGUGACUUUGAAUGAGUGAGGAGUGGAAGUCAGCAUUCCUGAAUCAUGCCAUCCUCCAGACAAUUACCCCUCUCCCCGAUAAUUCUUUUGAGCAGCAAUCAUAUUUUAGAAGCAGCGAUUACAUCCAUGUUUUCCCCCAUUAUAAUCACUCAGAAUUUAAGAGCUACAGAAACGAUCUGCAACAUUUGCAGUCAGCUUGAAAGCUUUCAGAGUUGACACAUUUUGGGAGGUCACAGAGUUUGGAAAUACUAAGGUUUUUUUUUCAGCAGGACUGGGAUUUCAGCAUGCGGUUUGGAGAAUUGUCGGGAGGAUUUCGGGCACCUGCCAGGGGAAGAGGCAGUGGAGGACUCCUCACUUCACAGUCUUCCCAGGAUGUCCUUCUGAAGGGCAGUAAGAUCAGAGCACGAAAGGAGAAAGGAACCCUCGCUGCCAGAUAGGCCGCUUUGCCCAAGAUCUGACUAUCCCACUGUUUUCUCCAUUUCUUGGUUUUUGUAACCAUGUGUUUUACUAGGACAGAAAGUGGCAACAAAGCUCAUGCAAUCUC